rnacentral:rRNA from 1 species
GGUAUGAUGGUUUAACGAGAGAUCAGCUUUUUUUAUUAUAAAAUUAGAAUUUAUUUUUUUAGUGAAAAAACUAAAAUUUUCUUGAAAGACGAGAAGACCCUAUAGAGUUUUAUACAAUAAUCGUUUUUUCUAUAAUAGUUUUUUGUUGGUGGAAAUGUGUUUUGUAAUUUGUUGGGGCGACAUUAAGAUAAGAAAAACUCUUUUUUUAAAAAAUUUUUAUGAAAAUAUGACUUGAUCCUUUAAAAAAGAUAAAAAGAAAAAAUUACCUUAGGGAUAACAGCGUAAUCUUUUUUGAGAGUUCUAAUCGACAAAAAGGUUUGCGACCUCGAUGUUGGACUAAAAUUUAGGUGUGGUGCAGUAGUUACACUUUAGGGUCUGUUCGACCCGUAAUAUUUUACACGAUCUGAGUUCAGACCGGCGUGAGCCAGGUUGG